rnacentral:rRNA from 1 species
GUCUACAGCCAUGCCACCCUGAACACGCCCGAUCUUGUCUGAUCUCAGAAGCUAAGCAGGGUCGGGCCUGGUUAGUACUUGGAUGGGAGACCACCUAGGAAUACCGGAUGCUGUAGGUG